rnacentral:rRNA from 1 species
CCCUUAGAUGACCGGGGCCGCACGCGCGCUACACUGAAGGAAUCAGCGUGGCUUUCUCCCUGACCCGAAAGGGUUGGGAAACCCGUUGAAUCUCCUUCGUGAUAGGGAUUGGGGCUUGAAAUUGUUCCCCAUGAACGAGGAAUUCCCAGUAAGCGCGAGUCAUAAGCUCGCGUUGAUUACGUCCCUGCCCUUUGUACACACCGCCCGUCGCUACUACCGAUUGAACGGUUUAGUGAGGGCCUCGGAUUGGUCUCGGCCCGCUCUUUACCGGGCGGCGCCGUUGGUCGAGAAGACGCUCGAACUUGAUCGUUUAGAGGAAGUAAAAGUCGUAACA